rnacentral:rRNA from 1 species
UGGGGAAUUUUGGACAAUGGGCGAAAGCCUGAUCCAGCAAUGCCGCGUGUGUGAAGAAGGCCUUCGGGUUGUAAAGCACUUUUGUCCGGAAAGAAAUCCUUGGCUCUAAUACAGUCGGGGGAUGACGGUACCGGAAGAAUAAGCACCGGCUAACUACGUGCCAGCAGCCGCGAUAAUACGUAGGGUGCAAGCGUUAAUCGGAAUUACUGGGCGUAAAGCGUGCGCAGGCGGUUUGCUAAGACCGAUGUGAAAUCCCCGGGCUCAACCUGGGAACUGCAUUGGUGACUGGCAGGCUAGAGUAUGGCAGAGGGGGGUAGAAUUCCACGUGUAGCAGUGAAAUGCGUAGAGAUGUGGAGGAAUACCGAUGGCGAAGGCAGCCCCCUGGGCAAUACUGACGCUCAUGCACGAAAAGCGUGGGGAGCAAACAGGAUUAGAUAACCCUGGUAGUCCACGCCCUAAAACGAUGUCAACUAGUUGUUGGGGAUUCAUUUCCUUAGUAACGUAGCUAACGCGUG